GUACAUGGGUUUCCAUGGAGACGCCUCAAACAACAUGCUGUUGCUGCCAGAAAUGCUGCCUAAUCUCUAUGGUUACCUAUGGCCUACGUCUCUUUCCUGUCUCCACUGAAACACUUCGUCCUUCUCUGAGGGUAAGUUACACAAAACCUACAUUUUCUUUCUUCUUGAUUUUCUCAUGUAUUUCUCAUUGAAAUCUCAUCAAGUUUUUAUAGAUUUAAUGUCCUAAGGACACACAGCUGCGCUGUGCAUACUGACUUUUUCAUACAUUUUUCAGAAAUAGUAUUUGUUAUGUAUUUCUUAUUAAACCCCUCACAGUAAA